UUGGAGGAUGUAUAUAUAUAUAUUAAUUACAAUGCAAUAUAUAUAAACCGACACUACGGUUAAAGUUCUGGAUAGAAUACUGAUAAUGACAUUUUUCUAUCUAUAUGUCUUGACCAAAUUUUGUGCCAGCAGUCGCGGCAACACAAAGGAGACAGCGUUAUUCAUCUUUAUUAGGUUUAAAGGGUACCUAGACGGCAUAUCAAGCCCCAAAAGGGAACGGAUAUACUAGAGUUUUAUGUGAGAGGCCUAUAGAACCAUUGGAGUAGAGAUAAAAUUUUAGGAUACCAUUGGGACUGGUAACGGCGAAGGCAAUCCUCUAUGUAAUAACUGACGUUGAGGGACGAAGGCUUGGGUAAUGAAUAGGAUUAGAUACCCUAGUAGUCCAAGCAGAUAAUUAUGAAUGUCAUAGAUUAGUUUGAGAUAGAGUUAGAUAAAUCUAGGUUUAAUCUAGCUCCAAGAUAUAGUAAAUCAAUAAUAUCAUUGUUUAAUCUAUAUAUUGAUCUAUAAAUGAAAGUGUAAGCAUUCCACCUCAAGAGUAAGGCGGCAACGUUGGAACUGAAAUCAUUAGACCGUUUCUGAAACCAGUAGUGAAGUAUGUUAUUUAAUUCGAUAACCCUCGAACAACCUUACCACAGUUUGAAUGUUAAUUAAAAAAUUAACACAGSGUUGCAUGGCUGUAUUCAGUUGAUGUCGUGAGAUAUGGUUGGAUCCAUUAAAAUUAGCGUAAACCCUUGUUCAUUAUUUGUUCUAAUAAUACCGUUAACCGUUAUAGUGGAUAAUAUAAUAGGG
rnacentral:rRNA from 1 species